CCCGCCCAGUGCAGGUUGGAGUACCUGGGAGAGGCCGGGGGAGGGAGCGGUUGUCCCGGAGGCGCUCUCCCCGGGCGGAUCACGGGGCCGUCCAGGCGAAGGCGCGCGGUCACCCGAGGCGCUGCUUCCUUCGGCCUCGCAAGCCUAAGUUUGGACCUGGUUGUUACAUAGAAGCCCCGCAUUGCAGAGCAUAAAAAAAUCCAACAUCUCCAGCAGAGGGCGACGGCUUCACACUCUGCUGGCUAGGACAGCGCUGCCCAGUAGGCAUAUACCCAGGAGUGGAACUGCUGAGUCAGACAGUACCUCUGUUGUGGAACAUUUUGAGGAACUACCAGACUGUUUUGUAAAGCUUCACCUCUGUUAUCAUCCUCUGUGUUGCUGAGGUGGGGAGGAAGUGAGAUGACUCACUCAUGAUCACCAGGACAGAAGGGCCAGAAGGCAGCGAGGAGCCAGUGGCUAGCAGGUGCCAGCCCACCGUCCUCUCCCCCGGUCCCAGAGACACAGAAGGGCCCCCCAGGCUGCCACGGGAGGCUCUCAACACAAACAGAGGCCAGACAACUCUAACCAAAAACCGUGUGACCUUUGUCUGCAGACCAGACAGGAUUAAGUAUCCUCAGUCCAGAUCCUUCCACAGCACUGGUUCUCAGCCCCUUGCAGCAGUUCUCAAAUCUGGCUGCAUAGUAGAACAGCUGGUGAGCUGGAAGCCCAGACCACGCCUGACCACCUAGAAUGCAAUCUCAGGGACACCCAGGGUUGCUCAGUGUUGAGCAUCUGCCUUUGGCUCUGGUUGUGAUCCCAGAGUCCCAGGAUCGGGUUCUGCAUUGGGUUCCCUGUGAGGAGCCUGCUUCUUCUCCCUCUUCCUGUGUCUC